rnacentral:rRNA from 1 species
GACAGAGGUGCCGAGCGUUAGGCGGAAUCACUGGGCUUAAAGCGUGUGUAGGCGGAUCGUUAAGUACCUUGUGAAAUCCCACGGCUUAACCGUGGAACUGCUGGGUAUACUGGCGAUCUUGAGCCACCUAGGGGCAACCGGAACAAAUGGUGGAGCGGUGAAAUGCGUAGAUAUCAUUUGGAACGCCAAUGGUGAAAACAGGUUGCUGGGGGUGUGCUGACGCUGAGACAUGAAAGCCAGGGGAGCGAACGGG